ACAGAGCCAUGAAGAUAAAGCUGAGCUACACUAAUUGGAUCUUCUUGUCAUCGAUCAGAGAGCCAUCAAGAUGCAGCAGCUGGGGUACGCUAACGGGAUCUUUCUGUCAUUGGUGUCUCCUUUAGGCUGUAUUUGCAGCAACAGGCCCAAAAAUACAUUGAAGAAGUGAAUGUCACACUCGGAGGUCAUGUUUCCACCUGGGGCCUCACAAGCGAUUACCCCUACUGGCACCAACAGCGUAAAGAACACCCGGUGAGAGGUGAGGUUGACUGGAUCAGCUAUUCUGGAUGCAAUCCUCCCAAGCAUCAGGAAUUACCGAGAACUGAUUGCGCUGGCGUUUUUACGUGGUCCGUCAGUGCAGGCAUAACUGGUCCGUUUAGCCUUAAGCAGUACGCUGUGCUUCCUGUCAUGUGCGAAGGGCCAGCUCGGAAGAUAUUUGAGCUCGAGCUAAAUCGUCUCACCAUAACUUCUACAGGGCUGGAGUGGGGCCACCU